rnacentral:rRNA from 1 species
UACGGUAGGGUCCGAGCGUUGUCCGGAAUUAUUGGGCGUAAAGGGCUCGUAGGCGGUUCGUCGACGUCGGGAGUGAAAACUCGGGGCUUAACCCCGAGCCUGCUUCCGAUACGGGCAGACUAGGAGGUAGGCAGGGGAGAAGCGGAACUCCUGGUGUAGGCGGUGGAAUGCGCAGAUAUCAGGAAGAACACCGGUGGCGGAAGGCGG